AAAAAUACAAGCCAAAAAAUUUCAUUUUUAAAUACGUCAUUAUAAAACCAACAGUUUAAUAAAACAUUCGUAAUAUCAUGUCAUGUCAAAACCAAAGUAGAAAUAAUCAAACGUGUUAUCAUAAAAUAAUAUCAGAGUGUAAUCCCAAAGAUCUCAUGUGCGGAAAACCAUAGUGUGAUGCGCUGCGAUCAAGUCGACUCCUUUCCUUUAAACACGAAGUACCUGAAACCAAAACUGAAAACCGUAAGCACGAAGCUUAGUGAGUUCCCCCAACAUACCACAUAACAUACAAUCACAUAACAUACAAGUAUUGUCAGGCAUAUCUGGGUGCCCAACCUACCCGUUCGGUACUCUCGACCGGAUACUGACCGGUAUAUCUGGGAGCUUGCCUCCCCUUCGGUCCUCUCGACGGGACACUGACUAGCAUAUCUGGGUGAUGGUCUCCCCUUCGGUCCUCUCGACCGGAUACUGACCAGUAUAUCUUGGAGCUUGCCUCCCCUUCGGUCCUCUCGACGGGACACUGACUAGCAUAUCUGGGUGAUGGUCUCCCCUUCGGUCCUCUCGACCGGAUACUGGGGACUAUUUCACCACCUACCACUACCACAUAACAUAUAUAUCUCAAACUAUCUAGCAUGGCUGGGAAUAACCGCCCCUUCGGCCCUAUCGACCAGUGUUCUGGGGGACUAUAUCCCCCUACUGUCACUAGCACAUAGCAUCAUAUCAUACUAGCACAAUAACAUAUAACAGGUAGUAGCAAACCUAGAUGAAUAUCACAAAGACAAACAUCUAUCAUACAAUCCUACUGGUGGGCCGGCAUUGUGGCAAUAAACCAACCUCUACUGGAAGGUAGCUCACCUCACACUGCUGAAGUCCCGUAGACACAAUCCCAUACUACUGAAGUCCCGCAGACUCAACCCCACCUGCUGGCUGACAGAUUCCAGAUCUGUCAAUAUCAAAACAUCACCCAAUUAAUAAUUGGGUCCCACUACAUAACCAUAAACACUUACUUUGGAUAAUUACAUUACCCCAAGCUUGGCUUAUUCAAGCCCAAGGCCCAAUCCGUAGGCCCAAAGUCAACUAGGAAUCAAAACCCAACACAUGGCCCAAUUUUCCAAAUUGGGCCUAGGCCUAUACAUGGUCUCAUUAACAUCAUAUAAUCAUUAAGGCCCAAACUAUGGCCCAUCUUGUUGGAUUAGUGUCUAAGUCCAUAACUAUUUUGGUAUGUACUUGACCCGAUGGUGCAUGGUCCUUUUGGGUUGCCUUCACCAAAGCAACUUGAUAGGAUGAAUUAUGGAGAGAAAGGAUUAAAUAUGAUUUAUUAAUAUAUUAUGGGAAUAAUAUAUUAAAGGAGAAAUCAUAUUGUUUAAUUAAUAUUAGUCAAUAAUUAAUUAGUAAUUAGUUUUGUGACUAAAAGAGAUUAAUUAAACUUAAGGGACUGGAAUUGUAAUUAUAAGAUAAUUGCAAUUUGGGCCAUGGAUUGUCUUAAAUCAAGAGGUGGACGAAUUCUUAUGGGAAGCCCAUAAGGAAAUCGUCCAAGGGCUUGAUUAAAGGAGUCUAUGGGUUGCUUAGGGCUUAACCAACCAAAUUAGGGUUUCCUUGUUAGAUAACCCUAAUAGCCUCACUAUAUAUAGAUCCCUUAAGGACCAAAAACGUGGCUAAGCUUCUUUCUAGGGUUUCACACGAGUUUUGGCAGCCUCUAACCUCUCUCCUCUUCAUCCUCUUGCUUAUGGUGUUUGUGAGCCAUUAGAGGAGUGACACUUGUGACUCUAAGCCUUCCAAAGUCAAUUCAAGGAGGAAUUGGGAUUGUUAUUGCUACAUAACAAUCAAGGUAAUAUCUUAAACCUAAUUAUAUGUUAAUAUUGAUUUCCAUAUGCUAGAAUUAGGGUUUAUAGUCUUGGAUUCAAAGCAUGUACAAUAGAGAAACCUAGAUCCAAGCAUUAGGGUUUGUAUGAGCACAUAGGAUGUCUUAUGACCAAAACCCAUCAGUGGUAUCAGAGCCUAGCUUGGUUUCAAUUGUAUUGAUGCAUUGUAUAUCUGAAAAAUUCGAUUUUUGGUGUUCUGGAGGCUGGACUCGCCGAGUCCAUAGCUGAACUCGCCGAGUCCAUGCAGACUCGACGAGUCCAAGCCUGACUCGACGAGUCAACUCGUCAGAUGGAGGGUAUUUCGGGAUUUCUUGCUGUUUUUGCUUAUGGAUAGUUACCUUAUCAUGUUAGAUCAAUAUUAAUCCGAUUAUAUGAUAUAUUUGACUAUAUUUUUGAUCUAAUUGAAGAUAUUUAUCAAUUAAUAAGAUAAUUGUUUCCUUAUGUGAUAAUUGAUUAAUUAUUUUGACUAAAUUGAUAAAUUGUUUUGCAAGAAAUCAUUAAAUAAAUCAAAUAUGGAUAAUUAUGUGAUUAAUUGUUAAUUUAGAUUAUUUGUUAUUUGAUCCUUGUUGUUAUGAAAAGUUUCAUAUUUUCCCCUUUAGGUUUUAUAGUUUAAAUUUGAACCCAAAAGUUUUGUUGUUUUGAAAUUUAAAUAGUUGAAACCCUAAUGUUUUGAAAAAGGUUUCAAAACUUGCCCUCAAGUUUUGGAAUUUAAAUUUUGAUUAAAUAGUUUAAUUUUGAUGUAUAUUUAAAUUCUAAACCCUAAUGUGUUGAAAUGUUUCAAAACUUGCCCUCAAGUUUUGGAAUUUAAAAGUUGAUUAAAAGUUUAAUUAGGAAUGUUAAAUUCUAAAACUCUAGUAUUGUUUUGAAAAAGUUCAAAUCACACCCUUAUGGUUUUAUUAAUUAAUUAAGGUGUAUAAUUAAAAGAGGUUUAAUAAAUCCAUAAAAGUUUUGGUUUACAAUUUAAUUGAAUUAAAAGUAUAAUUGUUAAAUUUGACCACCUAGUAUUUUAAAAGUGUAAAAUACACCCUAUACUAUAUAUAACAUUAAAAGUCUAACAUUAUAUAUAUGUAUGAGUAAAAGUCAGUCUUACCGUUAGUAGGCCUCAUUCACGAAGCUGGUCUAUAAGGGGUGUUUAAGGAAAUUGCCUAUAAAAUGGCGAUUGAAUGGGUAUCCACUCUUACCCACCGCACUCUUGACUAGUGGAGGGUCGUUAGCCGAACGGGUAGGAUAGGACGAAACCUUCCAUUAUAAGUAUAAUGAAGUAUAAAAGUAACUAAAUGUUUUCAUAAAAUUCCCAAUCUUAGUUACUUAGGCAAAAGUGAAUUGAUGCAAUUCCAUGAAAUUACACUUUGUGCCCUUGCGAAGACGUUAGUGGAGCGUGUGUGGUUUACCGGCACACUAAAUGGUUCUAAGCAAAGGUAGCAAAGGGUGACUCAAUGUUUGUCAUAGUUCGGUGGAGCGUGUGUGGUUUACCGGCACAUCGAAUAGGUGACUGUAACAUGUGAGGGCACCAUGUAAGUUUGCAUGGUUAUUCACACCCGCUUUGUGAUCCUCGGCAUCCCAGUCACAAACUAGAGGGGCAUAUCGAGAUUUAAACAUGCCAUUGAAAUGUUCAAUGAAUCUCAAAGGAUCUAGGAGUUUUCAUAGAUUUAAAACUUAAAUUUCUUUUUCGUUUUUCAUGGUGGAAAUUAGUGAAUCGUCAUUCACUUACCUUCAAAUGUUCUGCAAUUUGGGUUACGGCAUCCCUCUCCCGAGUUGUAGAAUAUUGUGUUGGGUCCUAGCCUUAGUAUCUCAUUUGGGUGAUUUACUAAGGACUCAAUCAAUCAACUAACUUGAAUUCGUUUUCUCCCGUUUUGUAGAUGUCAAAGUUCGACAACUAUGGUCUUCCCAAAUCCCGUGGAACAAGCAUUCCACAUGAAGAUGAUAUUCCACGAUUCGAUCGAGGAACAAGAAAUCAUGCUUCACUUCCUCCACCUCCUCCAAUUAUUCUCCCUAACCCACAAGUUCAAAGGCUUGAAAAGUUCAAGAUCACUCAAGCCCUUUUGGCAAGUAAACAUAAAGAAGGAAAGUCGGUGUGUGCACACGUCCUAGGGAUGAAGUCACACAUUGAUAGGUUAAGAAUGUUGGGAUCCGUUGUCUGUGAGGAAAUGGCUGUUGAUUGGGUUCUUCAGUCACUUCCUAACUCAUAUAGUGAGUUCGUAAGAGAGUACUAUAUGAUGAACCGCGACGUGACCCUUAUAGAUCUCACCUAUAUGCUUAUUGCUGCUGAAUCAGCAAUGGUUUGGCGCAAUAGAAAAGCAAAGUUGAUUGGUGAAUCUGCCUUCAAGACCUCUAUGGAUAUAGACAAUGGCAACGAAAGACAUGCUAUGAUCGAAAAGUUUGAUCAUAAGAGAAAGGCAAUGUCUGAAGUAGUUCCAUGUCAUGUUCCAAAAGAGUCAAUUUGCUUUUAUUGCCAAGAGAAAGGGCAUUGGAGACGAAGCUGCCCCAUUUACCUAAGAGAUCUAAGAGAUGGGAGAGUCGAAACGUAUGGCUCUAAUAUAGGUAAAAUCCAUUAACUAACUCUUUUAAGCUUCUAUUCUAGAUUCUUAAUACAUAAUGUGAUAAGAUUACAAUUGAUGUUUUGUAGGAUCGAAGAAAAGAAAGGAAGCUUAAGGGAAGAAGUGAGCAGAAUCUAACCGUGAAGGAAUGGAUUUCGAUCGCAUUUCUCGAAGAUUAGAUUCUUGAGCUACUACUUAGAGUUAGAAUUAGAUUGCUAAGAAAGAUGUAUUAGCAUAGUUUUUCAAUGAAUUGCAUUGUAAGGACAAAUUUUUCCGCAAUAAAAUAAAUUUUGAUUUUAAAUUUUAUUUAUUUAUCCUUACAAUGGCGUGUAUGAAAAAUUGAUGUUAAAAUGUUUCUAUUAUUAGCAAUAAUGGAUUUGGUUCUUAUUAUGUUAUUUAUGGAAAGUCGAGAAUUUACCAAAUAGGGAGAGUUUCUCAUCGCCCAAGUUUCAAUUGGACAGAAACUUGGAAUCAUGCAACUUGGUUGCACGAUGAAUGAGAAAUUUCAUAUUUGGAAAUUAGACAAAUUCAUUGACAAAGUGUCAAGUGAAGGACUAAGAGAUCGAGCACACAAAGUUGCGUGUUGAUCAAGUCCACCAUAAGAGUAACAAUGAUAUUCGUCAUGAUUUACUAAAGGUUUAGUAAAUAUGAUUAUACUUACAAGAUUAAGUGUAAUUCUGAAUUGAUUAAAGGGUUUAGAUCAAUAGCAGAACGAAUAAGAAGAAUCAAGUAGGCAGAAAGAUAAAAGUUUCUCCAUUCUAAGAAGAUGGGAGAGUACCUUUUAUGCUUUAUGAUAGGUCUUAAUGAUUAAGAACCAUAUCUCAAUUGAUCCUCUAAGUGAGUCUUAGUACAAUUGUAUGUCUAAGAAGAGGAAUCAAGAAUUGAAGAAAUGGUUAAAUCAAGAAGUCAAUCAUACUUCGUUCCAAAACAAGUCUUAGAGUUAAGAUUGUGACAUUGAGUGAUAAGUAUAAAGAAGGUUUAUAACAUUCAUUAAAUGUGGAAAGUUGUGAUGUCUUGGAUAAGACAAAGACCAACUAGGACCAAUUUAUGAAGUGUUUUGAUAAAAGCUACACUAACUCUUGAAUAUUUGUUUGUCAAGAAAUGUUUUUUGACAAGAGAAUCUUAUAUGUCAAGGAGUCAGUGGGAGUCUUAAUGGUCUUGAAAGGUUUCAAGAACAAAUCAAAUAAACCUUAUCGAUCAUCACUAGCACACGAGUUGAGGUUUACAACCUAUCGUGUUGACAUUAUUUUGAUUCUGUGCCAAUCCAAUCGAGUUAAUUAUGCAUGUGAGUUCUAUGAGUUCUCAUUUUGAACGCAUAAAAGGCAAAGCACCUUAAUCAAUGAAAGGUACAUUGAUAGGAAAGGGUGAGCUGCUUAACUACUUGGAAGACAUGGUGGGCAGCUGUGCUACCAUAAAGGCAAGAAAUCGAGAUCAAGAAAGUUCGAUCCAUAAGAGUUUGAAUUUGUCGUAAACUUUGGUUUUGACAAAUUCACAUGGAUAGGAACAAAUACACUGUUUAAAUCUAAGUGUCAUAAGAUUUCCUCCUUCAUGAAAAUGAUUGUGAGGAAAUGCUUUCACUAAGACAGAUUUUAAGAAGAUAGUGAUUGUAAAAUUGCAUUCUCGAAUUCAAUUAUGGUUACGGCAUCCCUUUCCAUAAUUUGAAUUGUGAGGUUUGGCAAUUAGUCUUAAUUGUUUAGACACACAUAUGAACUAUCGAAGGCAAAGGUGUAUAAGUUCAAGAAGCCUUGAUAAAAGAUUAUCAAAGCACUAAGUAUUAGAAACAUGAACUUAAGAAAUUCAAUAAGCAUUUUUUUUCUGAAAGUUAAGAUGUUUAUGAAUACAUGUCGAAGCUAGUGGGAGCAUAAGUGUUAUGUUUUAUAAUAAUCAUCAAGAUAGUGGGAGCAUAAAAGUUAUGAUUGUAUGAUUAUUAAGGAAAGUAUUGCAAGGUUAGCAAUAUUAAUUAUAGAAAACAAGAGUCAUACUUUGCAAAGUCGCAAUAGUUGAAGAGUUGUUUUGCUAUAAUUAAGGGAGAGAAUAUUAUGCUUCAUUUCAAAUCUAAAGGUUUAGGUUGAGAAAUGUUAAUAAAAUUUAGUCAAAGGUACAUAGUGUGUUCUUAAAAUUUCGAUUAUGAUUACGGCAUCCCUCUUCACAAUUCGAAUUUUGAGAACAUAGCAAAUAAAACAUUAUGCGUCGUGUCCCAUACGCUUCGGGUAUAGGAUCGAUUGCAAAUGCUUUAAUGUUUGACCAUUCUAAAAUUUUCCAAAUGUCGAGCGCAUUUAGAGGGAAAAGGGACUAGAAUUGGUUUUGACUAAAAUAAUUAAACAACUAUCAAAGGACAUUCAAAGUUCGACGAGGAUUGGUCGCUUGUGAGUAGUUGGAAGUAUAGUAUUGGAAAAUAUGGAAAUGUUUCCAUAUUGGAUGGACCAUAUCGACAUCAUUACGAAUAGAUAAGAUUCUAUUAAGAAUGAGUUGUCAUAUGGAACAUAUGGAAGUGUGUCCAUAUUGGGAAUUGAAUAUUGAGAAAUCUAUGACUAGAUUAGAAACUUCUAUGCAAAAGGAUGUUCAAAGAAUGUACUUUGAGUGAGAGACAUCACAUCUAUGGAAUUGUCUUGUAACAAUCUCCGAUAGAGGACUUUGUAAUAUCAUUGGCAAUAGUCUUUGUGACUUUGGUGCAGUGACAUUACGAAAGGAUAGUUGCAUAGAAUGUUAGAAUCUAGCAUAUUCUAUAAGUAGCAAGAAUUUGAUAUUCUUUCACUUAUGGAAAAGGAUUUGGAGUUGUGAAAUGAGAAUGAUUGGAAAUGUGUUCAAUUUGAUCUAUUUCACAAAGUAAGAACCAUAGGUAAACAUUGUGUGCAUGCUAGGAGCAUGGGACAAGUGUAAUAAUUCAAGUAAGAAGUUGAUUACCCGAAACGACAAAUAAUGAGUAAUCGAUAUGGUGAUAAAUAAAAGGUGUUUUAUUUAUACUCAAAGGUUUGAGGCCAUAUGGGAUUAGUAUUAUUCUUGUGUUUCACAUUUGCAUGUUUUGACUUCCAGAAUAAUUGAGUUUAUUAAGAAUAAUCGAAUUAUUCGAACGGGCCACAGUCGUUCAUAUGUUGGAAGUAGAUAUGAAUGAAGACUGUCGUGAAUUGGUGUGUGGAUUGUCUAAAGAGUAUUAGACAUAAGCAAAUGUUUGCUGCAACGUUCAUGAGUGCUUAUGAAUAUGAUUUGAGCAUUGGAUUAAACCCACGCUCACUUGGAUCACUCCAUGAAUUGUAUCACGAGUGAUUGGUGAGACGAUAACAUCUUAUAUUCUUGAAACCGAGAUGUGUGAGUUGUAUCUUGCAAAUCGGUUGCACAUUGAUAAUAUGUAAACGCACUAGUAACUUGGUGUUAUAAAACAUAUUGUUGUGUGUGAUUCGGUGAGUGAGUGCAAGCAAGCAUUGUAUCAAAGUUUAUCCGUUCCUUUUAUCCAAAGUAGGAUAAAAGCGAUAUCUUUGGGCCCCUCGAUGAUUUAGUGAUGACAAACGUAAAUGCUCGGCCGGGCUAGGGCUAAUUUGAUUUGUUCAAUUAGUCAGUCGUCAUAAAUCGGGAAUCGAGAUAUAGUACAAAGAGAAUGAUUUGAAAUCAUAUCUCAUACGAUAUCUAGAAUGGAGGAAUAUAUGAUCCCUUAUCUAAGGACACGCGUAUCUGAUAGGAUCAGAGUUGACAGCGGCUUUGGAAAGCUACGAUUGCAGAUCAGGAUCUGAAGUCAUACGCAUAAUAGUUAUUAGACUUAUCCAAGUGGGAGACUGUUGGAUUAGUGUCUAAGUCCAUAACUAUUUUGGUAUGUACUUGACCCGAUGGUGCAUGGUCCUUUUGGGUUGCCUUCACCAAAGCAACUUGAUAGGAUGAAUUAUGGAGAGAAAGGAUUAAAUAUGAUUUAUUAAUAUAUUAUGAGAAUAAUAUAUUAAAGGAGAAAUCAUAUUGUUUAAUUAAUAUUAGUCAAUAAUUAAUUAGUAAUUAGUUUUGUGACUAAAAGAGAUUAAUUAAACUUAAGGGACUGGAAUUGUAAUUAUAAGAUAAUUGCAAUUUGGGCCAUGGAUUGUCUUAAAUCAAGAGGUGGACGAAUUCUUAUGGGAAGCCCAUAAGGAAAUCGUCCAAGGGCUUGAUUAAAGGAGUCUAUGGGUUGCUUAGGGCUUAAGCAACCAAAUUAGGGUUUCCUUGUUAGAUAACCCUAAUAGCCUCACUAUAUAUAGAUCCCUUAAGGACCAAAAACAUGGCUAAGCUUCUUUCUAGGGUUUCACACGAGUUUUGGCAGCCUCUAACCUCUCUCCUCUUCAUCCUCUUGCUUAUGGUGUUUGUGAGCCAUUAGAGGAGUGACACUUGUGACUCUAAACCUUCCAAAGUCAAUUCAAGGAGGAAUUGGGAUUGUUAUUGCUACAUAACAAUCAAGGUACUAUCUUAAACCUAAUUAUAUGUUAAUAUUGAUUUCCAUAUACUAGAAUUAGGGUUUAUAGUUUUGGAUUCAAAGCAUGUACAAUAGAGAAACCUAGAUCCAAGCAUUAGGGUUUGUAUGAGCACAUAGGAUGUUCUUAGGACUAAAACCCAUCACAUCUAUGACCCAAUUUUCCAAAUUGGGCCCAAGCCCCUUACAUGGGCCUUACCUUAGGCCCAUUAAAUUAUUCUAGUCUAAUUGCUUGAUCUUGGAUAGCCCAUUUAAUAACCCAAUCAUCAAGGCCCGAAGAAAGGCCCAAUGAUAAACCCAAAUGAGAUUAGGGUUUCACAUAAAAUGACAAUUAGGGUUAGGUUUCCUACUUAACCCAUUAAGGACUUAAUCCAUUAAGUCCAUUAUCGCUUAGAUUAAUCUUUGCCAAAGUUUAUUAUUUAAUAUCUCAAGUUAUUAAAUAAUUUGUGUGUGUGUGUGACCCGAUUAAUUCUUAAAGUUAUGGUUUCAUUGGCAUUAGGGCUUUCCAAACCCUAAUUAAGGUUUCCAACCCAAUACCAGCCCAUUUAUUAAUUUGUUGGGCUUUCAGAUCAAUUAGGGCUUUAUUGGGCUUAUUAAGCCCACUAAAAAAUAUUAUUAAGCCCAUUAGGGUUUUAUUGGGUCCAUUAGAGUCCAUUAAGCUUCAUUGGGCCCAUUAGGGUUUUAGUCCCUUGUCCAAUCAUCCAAACGAGUCCAAACACCAUCAAUGCACACCGCCACCCGACACAGCGGCCGUUGGUGGUUUCGAAUUUCUUUUCAUUAUUUUUCUUUCCGGUUACAUUUUACAAUGAGCUCACGAAAUAACACACACAUACACUAUACUAAAAUAAACACACAUACACAGGCGGCACAUGGCGGCAGCCACCACCUCACGGUGGUGGCUGUGGUGGCUUUUCUCGUAACUCCGGCCAACAAUACUCCAUACUACACUCCCUCGGGAUAAACACGCACGCACCAAAAUGUACCCAUAGCCACCCCACACACGGUGGUCGAAGGUGGCAGAGAACAAAACGACGACAAGGUGGUUCUCCUUGAGCUUUUCUGUACAGCGAACAACCCUUUACACGCCACGGAGGAGCAGCGAUAUACACACACACAAACACGACAGCAGUAGCAGCGAAAAAUGUUCGCUCGCUAGCAGGUCCCCGUCGUCGCCGGCGACAAGAGCUACGAUUGANCAGCCACCACAUCAUGGUGGUGGCUGUGGUGGCUUUUCUCGUAACCCCGGCCAACAAUACUCCAUACUACACUCCCUCGGGAUAAACACGCACGCACCAAAAUGUACCCAUAGCCACCCCACACACGGUGGUCGAAGGUGGCAGAGAACAAAACGACGACAAGGUGGUUCUCCUUGAGCUUUUCUGUACAGCGAACAACCCUUUACACGCCACGGAGGAGCAGCGAUAUACACACACACAAACACGACAGCAGUAGCAGCGAAAAAUGUUCGCUCGCUAGCAGGUCCCCGUCGUCGCCGGCGACAAGAGCUACGAUUGACAUCAUCAGAGGCAGCAGAAGCUUCGUCUUCAGCGGGUGGCGCAUCGGCGGUUCGUCACAGAGCUACGAGCAAAAAAAGAACAAGCAGCGAAGGGUGGUACCAGUGGCGGCGGAAAACGAUGGCAAUAAAGCUCAGAAAAGCCCACCUUGGCGAACGACGGCUCACCGUCUCCAUCGACCCUCGGCGGUUCUCCGACAACAGCGUCGCAAUGGCGACCUUCCCUAGCAGCGUAGUAGCCGGCGGUACUCAAUGGUGAGGUGGUAGGCAUCUCCGCUGAUCGGAACAACGAACAGAAGGGAGGUGGUGGCGGCUGACUUCUCCCAUGGCGGCUGGAAAGGCUCUCCUUAGGGUUAGGGUAGGCAACGGUUAUAUACUCCCGAGCCCCAUAAGCAUUAUU
rnacentral:lncRNA from 1 species